rnacentral:rRNA from 1 species
UACGAAGGGGGCUAGCGUUGCUCGGAAUCACUGGGCGUAAAGGGCGCGUAGGCGGAUCUUUAAGUUGGGGGUGAAAGCCCAGGGCUCAACCCUGGAAUUGCCUUCGAUACUGGAGAUCUUGAGACCGGAAGAGGUAAGUGGAACUGCGAGUGUAGAGGUGAAAUUCGUAGAUAUUCGCAAGAACACCAGUGGCGAAGGCGGCUUACUGGUCCGGUUCUGACGCUGAGGCGCGGAAAGCGUGGGGAGCAACAGGAUUAAGAUACCCGUGG